GGAAGAGUUUGGACCCCUUUUAUAGGUGCCAGCAGCCUCGGACUACGUUGCGCGUCCAGCAGCUACGCUGGACGUCGUUCGGAUAAGGUGCCAGGAGGAUCCAGCUGGCUCGCACUCGGUCUCAUAUGGAUAAGGGCGAGGGUAUGCGGGGUGUACCGACUUCGGACGCGGGGCGUAUGCGAGGGCGACGUGUCUCCAUCCGGUUUGACUUCAGCGAUCAUCAUCGGACGACUGGGAAAGCGCCACGUCAGCACUUUCGCAUCAGGUCUCGCAAAUUCGACUACAAAUUUUAAAAAUUCGUACUUUCGCGUACGAGCUCCGUUUUCGAUGUUUUUUUUUCAACACAUAGGUAAAAUCAAGAUCUACAACUUUUAUUUAGACUCCGUCGGCUAAUUCUCGACCGAUCUCAAAUUUAACAGUAGGAGGCGUUUAAGCUAUUAAAUGACCGCGAAGAAUUCAUAACUCCUUCAUUCGGACUCCAUCUUUUUAUGAUUGAGUUCCUAUUAAUGAGAUCUUCAACUCUCAUUUAGGUCGCGUAAGCCAAAAACCGCUCGAACUAAAAAUCGAGUUUCGGGUCGUGCAUUGCUAAGCCAAAUCUUAGAAAAUUCAUAACUUCCUCAUACGAAGUCAGAUUUGGGCGUUCUUUUUUUGUAUGUUCUCGGUUUAACAUAUACUACAACUUUCGUUUAAAUUGCUAAGGCUAAAAUUCGCUCCAUCGUAAAUUUACUAUUUACAGUGUUGUGCCGGUUUUGCCGUAAAACUUCGACGGGCCAUAACUUCUUCGUUAUAACUCGGAUUUCGGCGUUCUUUAUAUGUCCGGAGCCCUUGAGACAUAUUCUACAACUCGGUUAAGAUUAUUUAUUCUAAAUAAUCUUUUGUCUAAAAGUCGUUUUCGACCCCUAUUAUCUCUAAAUUGACUAGCCCGGAUCUACGGGCGUUACAAUUAUCUCCCCCUUAGGAUUAUUACGUCCCGGAAUCAUCAAUGAAACAGGGCUCACAUGAUGACUCUAUACGUUAUCUCUUCAUCCUAAGUAAUAACCGUCACUUUCAUGUUUCUUCGAACGAGUAUCUAACUCUAAGACUUCCUCUGCAGGCGGNNNNNNNNNNNNNNNNNNNNNNNNNNNNNNNNNNNNNNNNNNNNNNNNNNNNNNNNNNNNNNNNNNNNNNNNNNNNNNNNNNNNNNNNNNNNNNNNNNNNNNNNNNNNNNNNNNUCGUAUGAUGCAUUGCUUGGACUCAGGUCUUUUAGAGUCAAAUUCCAGAACAGACUAUACCUUCCUUCAUGUUCUAAUCACAUCUUAAAAGGUAGCAUUUCUAGCUACAAGCAACCGUCGCGAUACCUCUACCGAUCACUUCGAUUAUCUUAUACUUCAAUCCUAUAGCUUAAGUCAGAUGUUACAUCAAACUUGGUUCUCUGAACCACGUAACAUACUCAUCGUAGUCGGACUCAAUUUGAUAUGACCACUAGGGUCGGAAUAACAACAAUCUUCUUAGUCAUUACCGAAAUGAUGGUAACGACAUGCUCGAAUAAAAUGGAAUCAAUUAUUGGCUUCUUGGUAACCUUGUGACUUUCCCUGAUCCAAGCGUGAGUCCUAUGCUUCCGGUAGUAUAUGCAUCUACUACCUUUCACACCUACCCAUACUCGUCCCAAGUAUUGUAUCGCAGUCCCCAAGUCCUAAAAUCACAAAACAAUUUAACACAUACGAGUGUGUCCAAAUAAUCAUAAAAAAAUUUCCCUAGACUCUACUAGGACUUCUUCCAUGCAUAUCUUUAAUCAUCAAUUCUGCUUCAACUCGGUUGGUGAUGGACAUUCCAGAUGAUAGGAAAACUUUAGGAAUUACACCAAUCGUUCUAUCAUCCCGCCAAUCAAAUGUGUACAUUCAGAUGUACCCUACUUCUAUAGACGUACUGCUCUUUUAUCAGACGUAUUCUAAAGGCAAGAUACCUCUCUUAUGAUAUCUUCUGAUCGGUGUCAUUCAGUAUCGUAAGCCAUCUCAUUUCCUCUAUUUUCUCAGUUUAUCAUGGUUCGCAUCACUUCCUGAAAUUCUGCCAUUGUGAUAGGUUCGGGUGCAGGCGCAACGACCGAUGCAUGACCCAUCACAUUAUUAGGCUCAAGUUGUCAUAUUCCUCUUGUUUUGUAUACGCAAGCAAACGUUCGGUGUACCGAGAUGAGAAUUUAAGAUAGGAAAGAUCUUAUUUAUGAUAGACGUGUAAAUCUACCUAUUACUCCGAAAAGUUACAUGCCAAUUCUAAUACCGUAUCUAAACGUUUAGAAAUCUGAACACAUAAAAUUUCCAGAUCUGGUCGGCAACAGACCAAAGAUCCGAUCAAACUAUAGCAUAAAGCAUAACAAAUCAUUUAGCACGUAAAAGCAAUUUAGGCAUCAUUCCUAAAAUAAGCUGGUGCUUGUGUCUAUUCAGUUGUAUUACCUAAAUCUAUUAUACACACUCCUCAUAAUCAUUGCUUAGCAUUCUAUGUUUAAGUCUAGCAAUAAAUCUAUAUUCCUAGUUCACUUAAACUAAUGCUAUGAUACCAACCGUGACAUCUCCAUUUUCUCAGCCAGAAAAGACCGAUUUUUGUUUAUGCUUUAUAAAAAUCAGAGUACCUCUUUUCAUAAAAAAUGUUGCUGAAUUUGUUCCCAGUAAAACAUCAUCAAUACGUUAUCAAAGCAUUUCCGAAGAAAAGUAUUUUUAUUCAUUUUAAAACAUUUGGGAUGUCAUCGUCAAUACAGAAACAUAACGAUAAACAGAACUUACAUUCAUUAUCAGUAGUGAUUUACAUCUCCUUAAUCUCUCAGUGUAAUGUGACAUCGUAACAACACCUGUGAUAUAAAUAAACUGAGUGGGUCAGCUUGGGAAACCUGGUGAGUACAUUGGGUUUUCAAGCCACAAUAAAUUAAUUAUUAUGUGUAAACAAUUAAGCAAUCAACCCAAUUACCCAUCCCCAUUAUCUUCUUUAUUUUAAGGAUCUACCCUAAGAAUCAUCUAUUUCUCGUUCACUCAUUCCUAAGGAUCAUCCUAAGGAAUCGUCACAAAGUCCAUCGUUGCCACGGUUUACACAACGGGCACUAAGUCUGCAUAGUCGCCAGGUUUAGGCAUCAAGUCUGCAUGAUCGCCAAGGUUUAGGUAUCAAGUUUGCAUGAUCACUAGGGUUUAGGCAUCAAGUCUGCAUGAUCACCAGGGUUUAGGCAUCAAGACUGCAUGAUCACCAAGGUUUAGAUUACACUGGGUGAGCACAUCGUUCACAACACCUACAAGUUGCGAGCCUGCUAGUGUUCCACUGGACUGUCUAGAAUAGUCCGUGGUUGUUAUCCAUAUUCUGCUGAAUGACGGGGCCAUCUUUUGGGAAAACGCUUCUCACAUCGUCUACCUCCUACCCUCACCUCGUUCUAUAACACNGGUCUAUAACACCUCUCAACUCAUCAUUCAACUCAUAUUCCAUUUAUUACAUCUACCCAUGUUUUACCCCAACAUUAUCGUAGAUAUAAAAUGCAUAUACAGUUUAAAUCAUUUAAAACAUGUAUAAAAUCGUUCACCCAGCAUAGACAACAAGUAUUCAGAUAAUAUGCACACAUAGCACAUAAUUUAUAUAAAAUACUUCAUAUCUAUGUGUAAGAAGAAAGUAACUAUGCACUCACUUGAAAGGUGGUGACUCAGCACUCGGAUAGCGCUUCGAUACUCUCAAAACAAUUUUUCCUUUGAUAAAACCUAGUAUCAAUACCACUAAGGUUUAGUCUAACGAUAACCGCGACAAAUUAAUAGUCUGAAUAUUAUUAUUAUUAUAUAAGCGUUAAACGAUACUUAUAUAACUCAUAAUAAUAGUCCAAAUAAUUAUUUUAAGGACCUAAUAACAUUACUAUAAUUAUAUUAAAAAUUGCGUAAGCGUAGCUCACUUACAGCUGAUUUUAAAGAAAACCGAGCUUUGCUCGGAGCAGUGUUUCGAAACCGAAAGACCUUUUUUCUCGGGACUCCGGGAGUCUCGAGGCUUCUUUCGAGCUUGGGGAUNNNNNNNNNNNNNNNNNNNNNNNNNNNNNNNNNNNNNNNNNNNNNNNNNNNNNNNNNNNNNNNNNNNNNNNNNNNNNNNNNNNNNNNNNNNNAGCCUCGGACUACGCUGCGCGUCCAGCAGCUACGCUGGGCGUCGUUUGGAUAAGGUGCCAGGAGGAUCCAGGUGGCUCGCACUCGGUCUCGGAUGGAUAAGGGCGAGGGUAUGCGGGGCGUACCGACUUCGGACGCGGGGCGUAUGCAAGGGCGACGUGUCUCCAUCCGGUUUGACUUCAGCGAUCAUCAUCGG
rnacentral:lncRNA from 1 species